rnacentral:rRNA from 1 species
GCUACGGGUGGCAGCAGUGAGGAAUAUUGGUCAAUGGGCGCAAGCCUGAACCAGCCAAGUCGCGUGAGGGAUGACGGUCCUAUGGAUUGUAAACCUCUUUUGUCGGGGAGAAAGGCCCGCCACGUGUGGCGGGAAGGAGAGUACCCGAAGAAAAAGCAUCGGCUCACUCCGUCCCAGCAGCCGCGGGAAGACGGAGGAUGUUGGCGUUAUCCGGAUUAAUUGGGUUUAAAGGGUGCGUGGGCGGAAGUUUCAGUAAGCGGGCAAGUGUCGGUGCUCAACACCGGCCUGCCGUUGAAACUGGUCUUCUUGAGUGAGCGAGAAGUAUGCGGAAUGCGUGGUGUAGCGGUGAAAUGCAUAGAUAUCACGCAGAACUCCGAUUGCGAAGGCAGCAUACCGGCGCUCAACUGACGCUGAGGCACGAAAGCGUGGGGAUCGAACAGGAUUAGAUACCCCAGUAGUC